GAUGAACGCUAGCGGCAGGCUUAAUACAUGCAAGUCGUGGGGCAGCAGGUCUGUAGCAAUACAGAUGCUGGCGACCGGCAAACGGGUGCGUAACACGUACGCAACCUUCCCGUUACUGGGGAAUAGCCCAGGGAAACUUGGAUUAAUACUCCAUAUUAUAUUGGUUAGGCAUCUGACUGAUAUCAAAGCUUCGGCGGUAACGGAUGGGCGUGCGGUUGAUUAGGUAGUUGGCGGGGUAACGGCCCACCAAGCAUACGCUCAAUAGAUGAUGUGAGUGCGUGAUCAGCCACACGGGCACUGGGACACGGGCCCGACUCCUACGGGAGGCAGCAGUAAUGAAUAUUGGGCAAUGGACGAAAGUCUGACCCAGCCAUGCCGCGUGAAGGAUGAAGGUCCUCUGGAUUGUAAACUUCUUUUAUCUGGGGCGAAAAUCGGUUAUUCUUAGCCGCUUGACAGUACCAGAUGAAUAAGCACCGGCUAACUCCGUGCCAGCCGCCGCGGUAAGAC
rnacentral:rRNA from 1 species